AAGACCCUUCAUUUGAUGUUUAAC
rnacentral:siRNA from 1 species